AUCUCCUGACCUUGUGAUCUGCCCACGUUGGCCUCCCAAAGUUCUGGGAUUACAGGCGUGAGCCACUGAGCCUGACUGAUAAUUUUACAUUAUGCAGAGUGGAGAUCAUAAUACAUACCAUUUGUUCUCCUAUUUUCAAUUAAUAUUACAUGGUGAAUAUUUUUAUAUCUUCAAAAUGUUGUCAAACAUAUUUACACAUGCAUGUGUAAAUCAAUAAUACAAUUUAGAUACCUUAGUGGAACCAUGCAACAAUAGGACUAAAAUAAAUACAUUAACAGAAUAUUUUCUCUCAUAUGGAUACUUCCUUUAAGCCAAAGCUAUUUAUUACUAAAAAGACUGAGUAAGCUUAUUUAGUAAGCUAAAAUUAGAUAUCCACAGCACCUUCUUUAUCACAGAAAUUAAUGAGGUGGGAUACUUAAUACCCCCACACAGUACAGGGUGGCUGAUAUGUAUGAUAGAAAUUUCAGUCCUUAAAAGUUAAACGGCUCUAUUCACUUAUUUUGAGGCUCUGCGAAUGAGAAUAAGGAGUUAACAUUAGACAAGUUUUCUGCUCUUAGUAUAUGAGUGAUCUAUUUAAAGGAUUACAGAUGUACAUAUGAAAUAGUUACAGAACCAUCCCGGGGAUGAGAUGAGUAGGAACGCACAGCGUAGACAGCACAUGGUAGUGUAAUGUGGAGGUGGAGUGUCAGUUUGGAUGGGUGCAAUCCAUGGAGGCUUCCUGGAGAAGAUGGACUUAGCUCUGGUUUCUGAAUAACAGAGUAUGGUAGAAUAACAUUUAUUCAUGGCCUAUUACACAUCAGUCUUCAUCUUUGGACACCUUCACAGAAUCACUGUGAAACCAUUCUCAUUUGAUACAUAGGUCUUGAACACUAGCUCCACAUAUCUGCUCUUGAAGUGGCACUGUUAAUAAGACACUUAGAAAGAACAGGGACAGCAUUGAGGCAGGGAAUGAAGCAAGUAAGAGCCUAGGGAGGCAUGAGAUCUGGGUGUGAACCCAGGCAGGUCACAAGCCAGGUGUGUAAGAGGUGAGAUUCAGUGUGAUGUUUUAUAGUGGGUUGACAGCAUGUCUAAGAUGAGAUUGAAUAGACACUGUAGGAUCAUGUGGUGGAAGACAUCAAAUAGCAAAGAGGAAUCACUCAUGACUAUACCCCAUGAUGCUGAUUCUCCCAGUGGGAUCCCAUUUAUGCUCUGACUGCAAUUUUCCAUUUGCUUGACUGAAAUCUGCUUAGAAAUACAAGCUCAAUUCGUUUACAAGUAAGUCUGUGGUCUGUAUACAUUUAUAUGUGUGUGUGUGUGUGCAAUCACAAAAUUCCAUCUUCUCCAUUAUGGUGAAAAUACAAUUAAUGCAUUUUUCAAUGAUAGUGAAAUGGGGGCCCUUUUAAAUACACACACCCUUUUACAGAUUUGUAGUCAAAAUGAAUUAUUUUCUAUUUUACUGUGGUCCUUAAGUAUUAAUAUCCACCCCUCAUAGAGUUUGGGGUCUAAUGGACAAGGUCAGCUGCAACAGGUACUACAGAGAAGAGGUACAUAGCACUUUGACAAUGUCUAAUUUUAAUUCCAGGAAGUCUUCCACAAGGAAACAUUUACUGAUUUUAAAUUUCUAGGAAGAAAAACCUGUACAAAUGCAGAAGGAAGGAAUGCUUAAACCGAGGCGAUAGCAUAUCAGAUACCCUGUGUUUUGAUAGAUCAAGGCUUAUAUUAGGAACAGGACAGAAGAAACCCUGUGGUUGAAGUGCAGAGAUCAAGAGGAAACAGCAAGUCACAUGAAAAAAAAACAUAUGGACAGGGCUGGAUCGUGCGAGGUUUGCAGUUUGAGGCUCUCCAUGAGGACCCUCUGUCACCCAACUCUUCCUUUAUGGUGCUCUUGUUCCCUCUCAUGGACUUGGUGUCUCUCACUGACUCAACUGCACUUGUUAAACUGUCUGAAGUUCGUGGAUGGCAGUCAUGAUUGAAGAAUUUAGUCCAGGUGGUAGCCAGAGCUACUUAAAUGCUUUCUGUAUCAGCCAUGGUACAGUGCUGGCUCCUGCUUUACCUUCCACCAUGAUUGUAAGUUUGCCAAGGUCUCACCAGAAGCUGAGGAGAUGCCAACAGCAUGCUUCCUGU